ensembl:lncRNA
CAGCCAAACUAGCUGAAUGAAAUAACUGGGCUGGCUAGUAAGAUAGAUAACAAGCAGCUCUUCCAAGUCAGCUUGGAUUGCGAUGUUUCUGUUUUCUUUAGCUAGCUAGCUAUCUAAAGCUGAAGUCAUUCGAUUUUUAAUUUUCCUGACAUUGUUAUAAAUUUUAACACAACUCUUCUUUAUGUAUAGGUAUUCAGACGUUCCUGAUUACCGGACAGACCAUAUUUUCCAGAAUACAUUGGAAAGGUACGUCAGUAUAUUCAAAUGUCUGUGUGUUUUCAUUGUAACUCACAUAAGUGCUUGUAGGGCCCCAUGAUUUCUGCAAUGCAAAGACGGAAUCCAGAAAUUUAAACAGAAUACACGGUACCCCUCGGACAGGAUACACAGGAUAUUUUUAUUACAGUACCCCAACAUUUGUGUGAAUAAUAAGUAUUAGAUGUAUCCUGUAUUUUUAAAUCAACCAAAUGGAUUGAACACGUUAGGCAACAAAAAGUUAACACGGAAUUCUGGAAAAUAAAACAGCAUUUGGGACAAAUAGAACAAGGAUUUCAUAGGGUCCUAUUAGUGUUUUUCUCAAUGUGUUGUCGCCCAGGCAGGUAUAGACAAUGUGUGUCUUCCUUAUUUUAGAAUGAGAUAGCAUAUGGGGGCAGCAGGUAACCUAGUGGUUAGAGUGCUGUGCCGGUAACCGAAAGGUUGCUGGAUCGAAUCCCCGAGCUGACAAGGUCAAAAUCUGUCGUUCUGCCCCUGAACAAGGAAGUUAACCGAUUGUUCCUCUGUAGGCGGUCACUGUAAAUAACAAUUUGUUCUUAACUGACUUGCCUAGUUAAAUAAAGGUUACAUAAGUAAUAAUAUAUGUUUGUGCUGAUGUAUACACACACAAAAAAUGAAUGGAUUAUAUCUUGAGUCCGCAGGGAUCAGGCGGCACAUGCAAUUUAAGAGCUGCAGUUUUGCUGCUUUCAAGUACAAAUACGUGACAACCACAACAUUGUGAGUGUCAAAAUGGCAAAGACCUUCUAAUAUCGAAGACAAGAUGUUUUCAAGCCCUUCCUGUGAGGACUUCAAAGAAAGAUGGGCAGCCCCUUUUAAGCCCAACCAGUGCAACACCAUCCAGGAAAGAAGAGACAGUGUGAUCCAUGCCCUGAUCAUAUACCUCGGCGAGAGGGUUGAAGACCUUAUUACAGAACACAAGGAUGCUAACGACACCGUGAUCCGAGAGGACCUCGUUCAGCAUGUGAUGAAGGUGUUCACUGUGAAGGAUCUGCACCAGAAUAUAGAGCAUGGGAUCUGCAUCGAAGGAGCAGAGGUCCUGUCUGGUAUUUGUGGUUCUACACAGUCACGUACCUUGUAUAUGGGCCUCAUCUAUGACUUGAAUCUAAGGUACACCAAAGAACUGAAAUAUACCUUUGAGGUGUUCCAAAAAGUAUUCUUGGAACUUGGUGAUCUCAGGAACUUCUCACGGGUCCAAGCUCUAAAGAUGAAGUUACUUGUUUUCAGAGAUAUCUAAAGAUAUCUAUGAGAACUCUCAAAGGGCCACUAAACAACUGUGGUCUAAACCCUACUCAGUAAGCUGAAAGGCUAGUUGCUAGGUGGUAUAGGUGCUACAGUUUACAUGAUGCUCUUUGUCAGGUGAAGUCAUAAGAGACAUUGUAAAUUCCUGUUUAAAAAACAGCUUUGUUUUCAAAUUUACUCCAUAUGCACUUGUGGAUUUCUGAGAUGAUUUGUAGUCAGGUGCAAGAUAUCUGGAUGUAACUUUAGGAGGCACGGUGGAGUUAUACCCAGAAUGCUUAUACCUGUCAAAAUAAUAUUGAAUGAGGUUGUAUUUGAGCUAAAGUUCAUAUUGUGCUUUGUGUAAAGUCUAUUAAGAUAAAUCCUUCAUUUAUGUUUCUGUUAAAACAUCGCUAUGUUGUUAAGGGGCACACAGAACACCAGAGAAUUCUUGCCAAACUCUACAAGAUGUGAGGUCAAAGUGCUAAUCCCAACCUAUCACCUAAACUUUAUGCAGUUGUGAAGAUCUGAACAUAUUCGUAGUCAGGUGCAAGCUUUCUGAAUGUAACUUUACCUAAGGAGGCAAGGUGGAUUUAUACGCAGAAUGAUUAAAGAUGAAAGUAAUGAGCUCUCCACAAAUGCUUAAGGAGUAGGGUAUAAGAGGCAAUUGAUGUUUGAAGAAAACCUUUAAUCAAAAUAAAGGUGUUGAAGUUUGAAGUUGACCACUGUUGUUUCUUUUUGCAUAUUCCCUUGUAUAGAAAUACCAUCUUUAGUCCAUUUUCCCAAGUCUAUUGAGGUAACUAUUUGCAUCAGCUUUUUAAGUAUAUUUGCGAGUAUAUAUUUGAGUAGUAAGAUUAAAUACAUUUUACGAACCUGAGUACCAUAAGUAACUGAGCAAAAUCAUUUGUAGAUAAAACAUAGAAUAUCAAUUACGAUACGGAGUAAAUUCAGCAAAUUAACCUUACAAUGUUAGUUCUGUAACUGAUUACAUUAAGUAUAUCAAACUUAUAACAUUAGUUCUGGGACUUGAAGGACUUAAGCAGGUCAAACUAAAAAAACAAAUGUUCUGAAUGUGAUAAAAUUAAGUUGAAUGAAAGGAAUUAUUGAGAUCCUGUUAGUUGUUUGCACUUAAUAUAUUUGAGUUUGUGAUGCACUAAAAGCAAAGUAUAUUAUACUUAAAUGAUCCUCCUUUUUGGAUUUACUUAAAAGGCUGAUGCAAAUAGUUACCAAAAAAUGUUUAAGUAAAAGGGGCACAAUAUUUU